rnacentral:ribozyme from 1 species
UCGGAAGACACAAGACCCCUUGCAGCACAUGCAGCGGCAUGGGCUAUUUGCGGAAAUCGUCGUGUCGCGUCUGCAAAGGGGAGGGUCAGAUUCGCAUUU